ACGAUGAAGAGUUUGAUCCUGGCUCAGGAUGAACGCUAGCGGCAGGCUUAACACAUGCAAGUCGAGGGGUAGAAGGAGCUUGCUCCUUUGAGACCGGCGCACGGGUGCGUAACGCGUAUGCAAUCUGCCUUGUACAGGGGAUAGCCCAGAGAAAUUUGGAUUAAUACCCCAUAGUAUUAUUAAAUGGCAUCAUUUAAUUAUUAAAGUUCCAACGGUACAAGAUGAGCAUGCGUCCCAUUAGCUAGUUGGUGUGGUAACGGCACACCAAGGCAACGAUGGGUAGGGGUCCUGAGAGGAGAUCCCCCACACUGGUACUGAGACACGGACCAGACUCCUACGGGAGGCAGCAGUGAGGAAUAUUGGUCAAUGGACGCAAGUCUGAACCAGCCAUGCCGCGUGCAGGAUGACGGUCCUAUGGAUUGUAAACUGCUUUUGUACAGGAAGAAACACUCCCUUGCGAGGAACUUGACGGUACUGUAAGAAUAAGGAUCGGCUAACUCCGUGCCAGCAGCCGCGGUAAUACGGAGGAUCCAAGCGUUAUCCGGAAUCAUUGGGUUUAAAGGGUCCGUAGGCGGUUUUAUAAGUCAGUGGUGAAAUCUGGUCGCUCAACGAUCAAACGGCCAUUGAUACUGUAAGACUUGAAUUACUUGGAAGUAACUAGAAUAUGUAGUGUAGCGGUGAAAUGCUUAGAGAUUACAUGGAAUACCAAUUGCGAAGGCAGGUUACUACGAGUACAUUGACGCUGAUGGACGAAAGCGUGGGGAGCGAACAGGAUUAGAUACCCUGGUAGUCCACGCCGUAAACGAUGGAUACUAGCUGUUUGGAGCAAUCUGAGUGGCUAAGCGAAAGUGAUAAGUAUCCCACCUGGGGAGUACGCUCGCAAGAGUGAAACUCAAAGGAAUUGACGGGGGCCCGCACAAGCGGAGGAGCAUGUGGUUUAAUUCGAUGAUACGCGAGGAACCUUACCAAGGCUUAAAUGGGAAACGACAGAUUUGGAAACAGAUCUUUCUUCGGACGUUUUUCAAGGUGCUGCAUGGUUGUCGUCAGCUCGUGCCGUGAGGUGUCAGGUUAAGUCCUAUAACGAGCGCAACCCCUGUUGCUAGUUGCCAGCGAGUCAAGUCGGGAACUCUAGCAAGACUGCCGGUGCAAACCGUGAGGAAGGUGGGGAUGACGUCAAAUCAUCACGGCCCUUACGCCUUGGGCUACACACGUGCUACAAUGGACGGUACAGAGAGCAGCCACUACGCAAGUAGGCGCGAAUCUACAAAACCGUUCUCAGUUCGGAUCGGAGUCUGCAACUCGACUCCGUGAAGCUGGAUUCGCUAGUAAUCGCAGAUCAGCCAUGCUGCGGUGAAUACGUUCCCGGGCCUUGUACACACCGCCCGUCAAGCCAUGGAAGCUGGGGGUACCUGGAAGUCGGUGACCGCAAGGAGCUGCCUAGGGUAAAACUGGUAACUAGGGCUAAGUCGUAACAAGGUAGCCGUACCGGAAGGUGCGGCUGGAACACCUCCUUU
rnacentral:rRNA from 1 species